UGCGUAGGGUGCAAGCGUUGUCCGGAAUUAUUGGGCGUAAAGAGCUCGUAGGCGGUUUGUCGCGUCGGGAGUGAAAACGCCGUGCUUAACACGGCGCUUGCUUUCGAUACGGGCAGACUAGAGGUAUGCAGGGGAGAACGGAAUUCCUGGUGUAGCGGUGAAAUGCGCAGAUAUCAGGAGGAACACCGGUGGCGAAGGCGGUUCUCUGGGCAUUACCUGACGCUGAGGAGCGAAAGUGUGGGGAGCGAACAGG
rnacentral:rRNA from 1 species